rnacentral:rRNA from 1 species
UGGAGCAUGUGGUUAAUUCGAAGCAACGCGAAGAACUUACCAGGUCUUGACAUCCCUGACAACCAAGAGAUUGGGCGGUUCCCCCUUCGGGGGACAGGGUGACAGGUGGUGCAUGGUUGUCGUCAGCUCGUGUCGUGAGAUGUUGGGUUAAGUCCCGCAACGAGCGCAACCCUCGCCUCUAGUUGCCAGCAUUCGGUUGGGCACUCUAGAGGGACUGCCGGCGACAAGUCGGAGGAAGUGGGAUGACGUCAAAUCAUCAUGCCCCUUAUGACCUGGGCUACACACGUGCUACAAUGGGCGGUACAAAGGGCUGCGAACCCGCGAGGGGGAGCGAAUCCCAAAAAGCCGCUCUCAGUUCGGAUUGCAGGCUGCAACUCGCCUGCAUGAAGCCGGAAUCGCUAGUAAUCGCGGAUCAGCAUGCCGCGGUGAAUACGUUCCCGGGCCUU